GCCAGUGUGGUGUAGUGGUUAAGGGCAGUGGACUCAUAAUCUACGGAACCGGGUUCGAUUCCCCGCUCCUCCACCUGCA